rnacentral:rRNA from 1 species
GACGAACCGUGCGAACGUUGUUCGGAAUCACUGGGCGUAAAGGGCGCGUAGGCGGGCCGUAAAGUCAGGGGUGAAAUCCUCCAGCUUAACUGGAGAACUGCCUUUGAUACUGACGGUCUCGAGUGAGGUAGGGGCGUGUGGAACUGAUGGUGGAGCGGUGAAAUGUGUUGAUAUCAUCAGGAACUCCGGUGGCGAAAGCGACACGCUGGACCUCUACUGACGCUGAGGCGCGAAAGCCAGGGGAGCAAACGGG